rnacentral:rRNA from 1 species
GUGAACGCUAGCGGCACGCUUAACACAUGCAAGUCGAACGGGAUUAUAGUCUUCGGAUUGUAGUCUAGUGGCAAACGGGUGAGUAAUGUAUAGGAACUUACCUUAGAGUGGGGGAUAGCCUUUGGAAACGAAGAGUAAUACCGCAUAAUACCAUUUAUGGGAAAGUCGUAAGACGCUCUAUGAUAGGCCUAUAUCCGAUUAGCUAGUUGGUGAGGUAAUGGCUCACCAAGGCUUUGAUCGGUAGCCGAUCUGAGAGGAUGAUCGGCCACACCGGGACUGAGACACGGACCGGACUCCUACGGGAGGCAGCAGUGGGGAAUAUUGGACAAUGGGCGAAAGCCUGAUCCAGCGAUGCCGCGUGAGUGAUGAAGGCCUUCGGGUUGUAAAGCUCUUUUGUCAGGGAAGAUAAUGACGGUACCUGAAGAAUAAGUGCCGGCUAACUUCGU